GGUGUUCCAGACGCCAUCGGCCAUUCUUCAGUGAAGUUCCCUGAGAACAAGAACCUUGUUUCUUGUUCAUUGUCGUAUUCUCCAACAAUUAAAACAGUGUUCAACCCAUGGUAAGUACUAAAUAAGUACUGCUUGAAUGAAUGAAUAAAAUGUAUGUGAUUAUUCCUUUAAAAGUUGCCUGCCAGGGUUCUUCAGUAUCUUCCUAUUUGUGAAAAUACAGUCCAAAUCCAACAAUCUUUUAAUAUUAUCCAGUAAUCCUCUUUUUAAUUUUGAUAUAAUAUAUGUAUAAAUUUCUUAACUUUUCAAAAUUUCCUAGUGUUUAUGGGAAACAAUUUUCUUCCCUACUGUUCUAGUAAGGGUUCUCCAGAGAAAUAGAACCAGCAGGAUAUGUAUUUGUAUGUACAAAGUAUAUAAAGAAAUUUAUGUGUUAGGGAAUUGGCUCAUGUGACUGUGGGAAAUGGCAAGUCUGAAAUGUAUAGGGUGGGCUGGCAAGCUAGAAAUUCUGGUGGUAAGGGUGACGUUGCAGUCUUGAGUCCAAAAUCCAUGGGGAGGCCAGUAGGAUGGAAACUCAGAGAGGUGUAGAUGAUGCAGUCUUGAGGCAGAAUUUUUUCUUCCUCUGAAAACCUCAGUUAAUUUAUCUUAAGACCUUCAACUGAUUGGAUGAGGGCCUCCCAUAUUAUCAAAGGUAAUCUCCUUUACUUAAAUCCAACUAAUUGUAGAUGCUAACCACAACUAAAAAAUACUUUCUCAGCAGCAUCCAGACCCGUGUUUGACUAAACAACUGGAUACUAUAACCUAGCCAAGUUGACACAUAAAAUUAACAACAUACCUACCUUCUAUGAAUUACAACAAUGUUAAGGCAUUUUUCUUAUUAUUAAUUUCAUGUUGGACAACCAAAUAAUUCAUUUGCAAUUAGAAACAAAACCAUGAAAAAUCACAACAAAAUAAAAAAGGGCCAGAUCAUGGCUCUGUAUAAAUAAAGGCAAAAGAGUUUAUGGGUUCUAAGGAGUACAUAUAGAGCAAAACCAGUUAUUUGGCAAGUAGCUUUUAAAAAAAAAAAAAA